ACAGUGGGCGGGGUGACCGCUGGCAGCGGCGGUCGCGGUGGCUGGUCCAUCUGCGAUCUUUCGUUGCUGGAGGAAAGUCCGGGCUCCUUAGGGCGGGAUGGUCGAUAACGUCGACCGGCCGUGAGGUUAGGGAAAGUGCAGCAGAGAGUAGACCGCCGAACGGUUCGCUGCCAGUUGCUCGCUUGAGCGGUGGUAGCAGAUGCGUGGUAAGGGUGAAACGGUGCGGUAAGAGCGCACCAGCGGCCGGGGUGACUCGGCCGGCUUGGUAAACCCCAUCCGGAGCUAGACCAAACAGGGUGCAUGAGGCGGCCCGCCUCGCUAUCGACACCCGGGUAGGUCGCAAUUGAGGCGGCGAGCAAUCGUCGUGCACAGAUAAAUGGUCACUGGCAGCCGAUGGCUGUUACAAAACCCGGCUUACAAGCCCACUGUCUCA
rnacentral:RNase_P_RNA from 1 species